AUAUUGGUAAUGUGCGAAAGCGCGAACCAGCAACGCCGCGUGCACGAUGAAGGCCUUCGGGUCGUAAAGUGCUUUUAGAGAGGAUGAGGAAGGACAGUACUUUCUGAAUAAGCCUCGGCUAACUACGUGCCAGCAGCCGCGGUAAAACGUAGGAGGCUAGCGUUAUCCGGAUUUACUGGGCGUAAAGCGCAUGCAGGUGGUUUUGUAAGUUGGAUGUGAAAGCUCCUGGCUUAACUGGGAGAGGUCGUUCAAAACUACAAGACUUGAGAUUGGUAGAGGAAAAUGGAAUUCCGGGUGUAGUGGUGAAAUGCGUAGAGAUCCGGAGGAACACCAGUGGCGAAAGCGGUUUUCUGGACCAAUUCUGACACUCAGAUGCGAAAGCUAAGGUAGCAAA
rnacentral:rRNA from 1 species